AGAGCCUUAAUGCUGAAUGCCUCCUACUGCACAAAUGUAUAGAAGCUGUCAGUUCUGAGUCACUGUUGAAUCAUGGACUAUAUGGAUUCAUCCCUUUACAGAUUCUAAUGAUGGAUUUACAGGUGAUUAUACACUAAUUAAAAUUUAUACAGGACAGGUUAUAUUCUAUUUUUGCAAGUAGAUGCUGCUGAAUCUUACAAAAUGGUCCUUUAAAGGCAUUUCAACAAAGUUUUGUGUUAAAUUUUUUUUCUUCUCAGUUCUCAAAUACCUGAUCCAAAUGUGAGUUUUCCAUCCCCUUCAUUAAUAAUCAGUAUCAGCUCAGAAAAUAUCGACCUCUUAUCUGUAGCAUUCGUGUUUUUUCUUCAUUUUUUUGUCUUAAUUUAUAGGUUGUCUUUUUCAUUGUCUACACAUAGAAACACUGAUUUCAGAGUUAUUAUGAGGGCUGUAAACUGCACUGAUCCAUAAAACCUCAGUGAUUGUUUCAUUUAUCAACAACAGAUUCUGCUCAAAUGUAUGCAGAAACAUACAUCUCAGUGGGUUUUGUCCCGUGGCUUGAAUUUUCUUCCUGCAGCUUUAAAACAAAAUCAAUUCUGGACGCUUUGGUUGUAUUUGUAAUGUCAAAUCUUGAAUACCUACUGAUGACAUUCCAGUGGUUUUCACAUCAGGAGUGUCGCUGCCCUCUGUUGGCCGGUCUGUGAACUGCACUGUACUGGUGCCACUUCAUCAUGUGAAUAAAAAGGAAACUGGAAAAGACUCAA